AUGCAAGUCUAAGUACGAGCUCCCGUACAGUGAAACUGCGAAUGGCUCAUUAAAUCAGUUAUGGUUCAUUUGAUCGUACGUGUUACUUGGAUAACUGUGGAAAUGCUAGAGCUAAUACAUGCGAAGAGCGCCGACCUCGCGGGAGGCGUGCUUUUAUCAGACCAAAAACCGACCGGGUCUCGGCCCGUCGCUUUGGUGACUCUGGAUAACUUGGCGGAUCGCACGGUCCUGUACCGGCGACGGAUCAUUCAAGUGUCUGCCCUAUCAACUUUCGUCGGUACGGUAUUGGCCUACCGAGGUUCUUACGGGUAACGGGGAAUCAGGGUUCGAUUCCGGAGAGGGAGCCUGAGAAACGGCUACCACA
rnacentral:rRNA from 1 species